GGGGCUGGACGAGAAUGACACGGCUCCCUCUGAACAGAGCUGAGCCAUUUACUGGUGAACAGCGACACCGCGUGGUUAACGCAGGGGGAGAGGCAGGCUGGGAGAGAGGCCACACUGGUUGACGUGAUUCUGCUAAGUAUGCUGAUUGCUAAGUCACAUGCUGAUGAACCAGAGCUCACGCACGACCUCUACAGAUGACCAGGAAGCCACUGAUGAACCAGAGCCAACGUAUGACCUCUACAGAUGACCAGGAAGCCACUGAUGAACCAGAGCCAACGUAUGACCUCUACAGAUGACCAGGAAGCCACUGAUGAACCAGAGCCAACGUAUGACCUCUACAGAUGACCAGGAAGCCACUGAUGAACCAGAGCCAACGUAUGACCUCUACAGAUGACCAGGAAGCCACUUAAUCCCCAAACUGAUAUCUCUUCUCUCAAACCAAUACCAACACGUGUGUGCUAAUAUCAACUAAACUAGCUGUCAUUUCUAAAACACAA